AUUGAACGCUGGCGGCAGGCUUAACACAUGCAAGUCGAGCGAGCGGCGGACGGGUGAGUAAUGUCUGGGAAACUGCCUUAUGGAGGGGGAUAACUACUGGAAGCGGUAGCUAAUACCGCAUACCAUCAGAUGUGCCCAGUUGGGAUUCGCUAGGAGGUGGGGUAAUGGCUCACCUAGGCGGCGAUCCCUAGCUGGUCUGAGAGGAUGACCGGCCAAACUGGAACUGAGACACGGUCCAGACUCCUACGUGAGGGAGCAGGGGGGAAGAUUGCACAAUGGGCGCAAGCCGGAUGCAGCCAGGCCGCGUGUGUGAAGAAGGCCUUCGGGUUGUAAAGCACUUUCAGCGGGGAGGCGUUACCCGCAGAAGAAGCACCGGCUAACUCCGUGCCAGCAGCCGCGGUAAUAC
rnacentral:rRNA from 1 species